CGGUCGGCGACCUUGGCGGACGCGGCGGCCGGGGCGGGGGCCGCGGCGGCGGGGGAGACGGCGCAGAAGGGGCGGGCGAGCGCGGGGGCGAGGUGGAGCGGGAGCCGGCGCAGGGCGCGCGCCGCGAUCGCCAUGGUAGGGUUCGGGGUGGGAGAUCUGGGGUGGGGAGGAGGGGGGCGAUGCGGACUGGGAAAUGGAGAGGGUGGAGGAGGUUGGGGGCGGACAGAAGGUGCCUGGGUCACUGCGGAGUGGGCCUCCCAGGCUUUGUGUGGAACUUUUGUGGGUCCUUCUGUCAGUGUGUACAAUGUGGGACAGCACCAUGUAUUUGGGAUCAAAUAGACAAAUGAUGUGAGGGUAAUUCUUGGUGCAAAAAAUACACACACUGCGAAUACGUUUUGAAUUAAACAAUACUACUUUAAAGUGCACCUUUAAUUUUUAUGGAUGAUGUUAGUUUAUGCUCAUGUUUGGAGUUUUACAAACAAGUCUUGUGAUUCGAGGUCUGAGAGAUAGUUGUGGCAUUGGGAGUUUUAUCUUGCACAGUAAUAAACAACAAUGUAACAUCACUUUCUCGUGUUCAUUUUCCUUUUUCAUGACCUUAUUUCCCCAGAACGAGUGCAUGCACUCAGCUCUUAGUGGUUAUUCUCCGUAUAAAAUGUAUAUUCAAACAUAUUGGACAUCACUCUUAGGGGAGAAGACAUGCUUCAUUGUAAUAAAGGUAAUAAACAACGAUAAAAGAACAAAAGAAAAUUGGUGUUGGUACUAAAUAUUAAAUCAACAUUAUUUUUUAUUUGUCAUUUUCUCAGGUCAAUUACAAAGUACAUGCCUUCUCAUUUUAUCACUGACAUAUACAACAAUAAAAAUUGAAAUAUAUUAAUCCUAAAGAGGCGAAACACUAUAUAACAUCUAGUAUCAUCGAGACAAUGGACAUGCAUCUUUCAUCACCCCACACUUCCAGCGUGGAACAUCCGCAGACCCGAAGAACAAGGUGGUCUUGGAGUACUAAAUCUCAUGGCCCGCAAAUACUACAUUCUUGCUGAAAAUUUUACACAAGCUCUACAAUCAUGAAGAUAUUGCAUGGGUUCAACUUAUAUGUAAAGCCUACUACAAAAGUCCUCCUCCCCAUGCUACCAGAAAUGUUGGCUCAUUUUGGUGGAGAGGUUGUCUCAAUCUUAUUGACACUUUCAUGGGAAUCGUAUCAUGUCAAGUUAACUCUGGUAACACUAUGUGAUGUAGGCUCAUGCCCUUGUUUGCCCGAUCUUCACGAAUUGGAGGUGGAUGUGAGGAAGAACACAAGGGGGAAUCACGCAAUAGGACACUAUUGGACAAGGUCCACACACAAGCACUCAAAUCACAAGACAAGGGGAGGGAUCUCAAGCAUCCAACAACAACAAAGGAAAAGAUACAAAUGGUAGUUCAUCUAAAACUCAAAGAGAAAUGGGUCUUAAGUUCCAUGGAGGAAUCUUCUCCUAAGAGGCCUUGACAACCAUACAUGGUUCUUCCCCUAAGGGGUCUUGACAACCAUAAAUGGUUCUUCUCUUAAGAGGAGUCCGACAUGAGGAGAUAUAUGAACUAAGCUCUAUAGUUUUGGUCCUAAUCUUAGAUGACCCUAAAUCUAAGGUGGGUGAAGGGAAUAUAUAUAGGUCCUGCCAUGAAAAGGUAAGUGAGGAGGGGAUACAUGGGCUUGGCCCAACUCAGUGCACGCAAGUACGAGUUGGAGGUUUCGACAUGUCGAACACUCCGAGGUAAUUUCUAGGCAAUGUCCGACAUGGACGAGAGCUCGGGGUAUGUCGGAGGUUAAGUUCGACUGUCCAAGUUUCCUGCAAGUUGUAGGUUGGCUUCUUCCUUGUGAUUCCUUCUUUGCUUCCAAGCUUCCCUCUUGGAUGGUGUAGUUGUUCUAUUGCACCUGAAGUCCUCCUCGUCAUCCGUGAAGCUCCGCUCAAACCUAUACAUGCACAAUGGAGGGUCAAGUAGUAUACCAUCAUUGAAGGGGACAAAAAGACACGUGUAAAGGAGAAGAUACAUUUUUAUAUGUUCGAGUAGAUGUUGCAUGUGUUUCUUGACAUGGUGAUGUCCAUAGGAUACUCCGCAUCACUAUGCCCUUGUGGCAAGACAUGGAAUAGUAAUAUCAUGCACAGAACUUUUUUACGGCUCACACUUUUGCAAAAAAAAUGAUAACAUAUCCAUGCAACAAUCUAUGAAGAUGAUUUCAAACAAUACUAGCAAAAGAUCCCAUGUGUUGCAACGGGAGUGAAAAUAACACAUGCUCUUAGCCCAAUAACCAUGACUCAUGACCUUAAUAGGUCCAUGUCCAUUAUUUCAACAUAGCAUCACAUUUGUGUUGCCGACGGUGGCCUCGGUGCUCACAGAAUGAAAACACGUUUGAUUGUGGUUAGUCCUAAGGCCUCUCUCUCUCUCUCUCUCUCUCUCUCUCUCUCUCUCUCUCUCUCUCUCUCUCUUGCGCGCGCGCGCAAGCGCACUCGCUCGAAAUAAGAUGAAAAAUAUGUUGUCUUUCCCUGAUUGGUUUUUCAGAGGUGUGCAUGCAUGGUUAUCGAUGUUUUCUUUCCUCUCAAUCUGGUUUUAAUGAGUGUUUAUUUGCAAUUCGGUCAUCGUCGGUAUGAAAGAAAAAGAAAUUGUGCAUUAUAGAUUAAGUUUGCACCCAAAAAAAUAUUUUAGGAAUAUGUAACAGCUAAAAAUAACAUCAUAUUUGGAUUCUACAUAUUUUUCUAAUCAAAUUUAAUAUAUAACAUGUUGAAAUUGGAGUUGUGGUUUAAAAGAUAUGGAUGAUUUAAAAAAUCAUUAUUUUAGAUAAACUGUGGAUUGCUUAAUCAAAAAAAUCAGGGGGGGUCUAUUAAAACGCAAAAUAAAAAUGAUUCCUCUCACUUAAAUAUGAACUCCGGGUUGACUACCUGAAACAGUCAUGGGGUUUUCUGAGAAAAUGCAAAAAAUGGUUCAGCUGGUGAAAGUGCGUUAUAUUGACUAGAGGGGGGUGAAUAGGCGAUUUUUAUGAAUUCUUCACUGAGGAAUUUCAGGGUGAGGAAACUCUUGAGUGAAGAACUACUUGCAGCGGAAUAAGAGCAUCUCCAGCCGUUCGCCCACCCCCNNNNNNNNNNNNNNNNNNNNNNNNNNNNNNNNNNNNNNNNNNNNNNNNNNNNNNNNNNNNNNNNNNNNNNNNNNNNNNNNNNNNNNNNNNNNNNNNNNNNCAGAAGGGGCGGGCGAGCGCGGGGGCGAGGUGGAGCGGGAGCCGGCGCAGGGCGCGCGCCGCGAUCGCCAUGGUAGGGUUCGGGGUGGGAGAUCUGGGGUGGGGAGGAGGGGGGCGAUGCGGACUGGGAAAUGGAGAGGGGGGAGGAGGUUGGGGGCGGAGAGAAGGUGCCU
rnacentral:lncRNA from 1 species